rnacentral:rRNA from 1 species
UACGUAGGUGGCAAGCGUUGUCCGGAUUUACUGGGCGUAAAGAGCGCGCAGGCGGUCGUUCAAGUCGAGUGUGAAAGCCCCCGGCUCAACUGGGGAGGGUCACUCGAUACUGAUCGACUCGAAGGCAGAAGAGGGAAGCGGAAUUCCCGGUGUAGUGGUGAAAUGCGUAGAUAUCUGGAGGAACACCGGUGGCGAAGGCGGCAUCCUGGACCGGCAUUGACGCUGAGGCGCGAAAGCUAGGGGAGCAAACGGG